UACGUAGGUGGCAAGCGUUGUCCGGAUUUACUGGGCGUAAAGCGUGCGCAGGCGGUUCGCAAAGUCUGAUGUGAAAGCCCCGGGCUCAACCUGGGAACUGCAUUGGAAACUAACGGGCUCGAGUGUGGCAGAGGGGGGUGGGAAUUCCACGUGUAGCAGUGAAAUGCGUAGAGAUGUGGAGGAACACCGAUGGCGAAGGCAGCCCCCUGGGCUAACACUGACGCUCAGGCACGAAAGCGUGGGGAGCAAACAGG
rnacentral:rRNA from 1 species